rnacentral:rRNA from 1 species
AACUCACACCCAUAAGCGCCAGGGAACUACGAGCCAUGCUUAAAACCCAAAGGAUUUGACGGUGUCCCACCCCCCUAGAGGAGCCUGUUCUAUAAUCGAUGAUCCCCGAUAUACCCUACCACCCCUUGCCCAUCAGUCUGUAUACCUCCGUCGAAAGCUUACCAUGUGAACGUCUACAGUAGGUUCAAGGACCCGCAUUAGCGCGUCAAUACGUCAGGUCAAGGUGCAACUUAAGGAGUGGAAAGUAAUUGGCUACAAUUUCUAACCUAGAACAAACGAAAGACUGUGUGAAACCACAGUCACGAAGGCGGAUUUAGUAGUAAAAAGAAAAUAGAGAGUUCUUUUUAACCUGGCUCUGGGACGCGUACACACCGCCCGUCAC